UAACGGUUCCCAUUCGGGGAUGAAAAGGGAACGCGGUGCGACGUCAUUGGCGUCAAUGCCGCGGCUGCCCCCGCAACUGUAAGCGGCGAGUUACCGGCCGAGAAAGCCACUGGGACAUCCCGGGAAGGCGAGGCCGGUAGCGGCGACCCGUGAGCCAGGAGACCUGCCGUUGCAU
rnacentral:ncRNA from 1 species